GGUAAAUAGAUAACGAGAACAAAAGGGGAAGACAAGGCAAAACGGAACGGGUGGGUGAAGUUUCUGGUUUAGGAGUUCACAGGAUGGUGAUUUCAGCCGGUGUUUUUUGCUCGCUAAGAGUUUUGUACCAGGGGCUGACCCGCGGUGUUCCCAUCCUUCCUGCGCUACAGGAAGCGAUUCGUGUAUAAGCAACACCGCGGAGUCAAUACCGAGACGUGCCGAGCUGCAGCCGUGCUGCGGGCAGCACCGGAGCCUCAGCACAUUGCAAGCUGGGAGAUGUUAAAAUCUGAGCAAGCUGGAAGGUGAGGUGGAUAACAUGAGCAGAUUCCAAAGAAUAUGCCUAGAAGAAGGCCGCUAACCCUGUUUUUUUGUCUUCAUAAUAAAGGCGUCUCGUUCUCUGAGCGGCAUUUUGUUAGCCAAAUUAUUGUCGCUUUGAAAACUUAUUUCAGCCAGAGAUCCCCAGCUCCGUGCUGCGGCCGUGCCGGGCUGCUCUGAAAGCGCUGCUGUCCGCAGCAAUGCCAGUCAGCUGCGAUUUACUGAAGACCGGCAAGCAGCGCAAGAGACAGCUGGGGCCAUCUGCGCUGAAUGGCGAGUGGGAACGGAGCCUCCUGACCCUGCCUUCCUGCCACUUUCUUCAUUACGUGGCAGGUCAUGCCUCUAGACACUAAAUGCACCAGAACCAAGAAUCGUGUGGGAAGGACUCGGUUUGUUUGCGCUGCAAAAAAAAAAAAAGA